rnacentral:tRNA from 1 species
GAGCGUGAUGUGCAACUUGCGUGGAUUUAGUCCAUUUCACUAUCUACAUUCAGCAGAAAACUCUCAUUUUUUUACACCCCUUUGACAUGGUAGGAGUCACAGGUUCGAUCCCUGUUACGCCCACCA